AAUAGAUACCCGGGUAGUCCUGGCUGUAAACGCUGAGUACUGGUUGGAAGGGGGUUCGCCCCAUUCCGACGUAGCGAAAGCGUUAAGUACUCCGCCUGGGGAGUAUGGUCGCAAGACUGAAACUCAAAGGAAUUGACGGGGGCUCACACAAGCGGUGGAGCAUGUGGCUUAAUUCGAGGCAACGCGAAGAACCUUAUCCUAGACUUGACAUUCACGGAUGGCACGCCUGAAAGGGAUGUGUCUGCCUUCGGGUGAAACGUGGACAGGUGCUGCAUGGCUGUCGUCAGCUCGUGUCGUGAGAUGUCGCGUUAAGUCGCUGAACGAGCGAAACCCUUGUCCUUAGUUGCCAGCGAGUCAUGGUCGGGGACUACGUAAGGACGACCGCCGGUGUACGAAACCGGAGGAAGGGUGGGGACGACGUACAAGUCAUCAUGGUCCUUUAUGUCGUAGGGCUGCACACGUGCUACAAGUGGGGCGUAACGAAAGGGAAGCCGAACCCGCGGAGGGCAAGACAAAUCUACAAAAACGCGUCCCUCAGGUUCGGAUUGCAGG
rnacentral:rRNA from 1 species